rnacentral:rRNA from 1 species
UGGCUCAGAUUGAACGCUGGCGGCAUGCCUUACACAUGCAAGUCGAACGGCAGCACGGGAGCAAUCCUGGUGGCGAGUGGCGAACGGGUGAGUAAUACAUCGGAACGUGUCCUGUAGUGGGGGAUAGCCCGGCGAAAGCCGGAUUAAUACCGCAUACGCUCUACGGAGGAAAGGGGGGGAUCUUAGGACCUCUCGCUACAGGGGCGGCCGAUGGCAGAUUAGCUAGUUGGUGGGGUAAAGGCCUACCAAGGCGACGAUCUGUAGCUGGUCUGAGAGGACGACCAGCCACACUGGGACUGAGACACGGCCCAGACUCCUACGGGAGGCAGCAGUGGGGAAUUUUGGACAAUGGGCGCAAGCCUGAUCCAGCACAUGCCGCGUGUGUGAAGAAGGCCCUUCGGGUUGUAAAGCACUUUUGUCCGGAAAGAAAACCUCUGGGUUCAUACCCCGGGGGGAUGACGGUACCGGAAGCAAUAAGCACCGGC